UACGGAGGGUGCAAGCGUUAUCCGGAUUUACUGGGUUUAAAGGGUGCGUAGGUGGGUAGGUAAGUCAGUGGUGAAAUCUUCAAGCUUAACUUGGAAACUGCCAUUGAUACUAUUUAUCUUGAAUGCUUUGGAGGUAAGCGGAAUAUGUCAUGUAGCGGUGAAAUGCUUAGAUAUGACAUAGAACACCGAUAGCGAAGGCAGCUUACUACGCAGUUAUUGACACUGAGGCUCGAAAGCGUGGGGAUCAAACAGG
rnacentral:rRNA from 1 species